rnacentral:lncRNA from 1 species
GGACGGCACGCCCUGUAACACAAACUCAAUCAUUUUCAGAUCACGUUAUUUUCCUCUUGUCUGUGUGUGUGUGUGUGUUUGUGCGUGCGCGUGAGGAAGCGUUCGGCUUUAGGACCUUGAGGAUUCCACUGCAAAGGACAGCUCCACCCCUCCUCCUCCUCCUCCUCCUCCUCCACAAGGCUGUUUACCAAGGAGCCUCCUGUCCUGUGACAAAAACAAGGGCUGGGGCUCUGAGAGAGGAGCAGUGUGUUUCCAACACAGGCUCUUCCUGCGUUUUCACAUCUUUUAGCUGCUGUUCCCUGCAGGGAAGAUGCGCACCAUGCGGUCUGUUUCUUCAGCUCGUCAGCUCUCCAGACUGUUUUUCUCUUUGCACAUUGUUUUCUUGAGCGCAAGCGCAGUAGGGAGCAGCGCAUCCGCUCAAACAGGUAAUCAAAUUGUUAUUUAUUUGUGCAUGAAUUUGCUGUAAAAAUUCUAUUUUUGCUACAGCGUCUGUGUGUGUUUUUUGUUACAGAUUGUGUUAGGUCGGAUGGUUUGGACUACAGAGGGAAGCAGCAGAGCUCCUCCUCGGGUCUGACCUGUCUGAACUGGAUCAAUACUACAAGAGACUACGAUGCUGAAAUCCAUCCAGAUUCCCAAACAGGUGCCGGAGAUCAUAAUUACUGCAGAAACCCAGACGCCUCUGAGAGGCCUUGGUGCUACAUUGCUGGCCCAGAUGGGACAAUCCAGAGACAGUUCUGCGCCAUCGAGACAUGCAAAGGCAAGUAAACAGAUGACUAAACAAUGUUGGUGCUGUUUAAUCAUCUUGUCGUUAAUGCUUUUUUUUAUGCUUUUAUGUUAAAAACAAAACAAAAUCAACCCACUCUAAAAUAUUCUUAACAGUUUGUUACUUUAAAAACAGAGUUUUUUAUGGAAGCAAUGGGAUGCCACAAUUCUAGAUCAAAAACAAGACAGGAUAUUUUGCCAUUAAACAUGGAAAGCGCCAAGUGGAAAAAUAAGAGUUUGGGUCAGUCGGUCAGGAUUCAACAGCGGUAGGAAGUCUGCUCUUUGUUUGGAGCAAUAGCAAACCUGACAACACGUGUUAGAAAGUUCAGACUGAAAAACAACCUUGACCCAGCCCCAAAGCUGCGCUCAUUGGCACAUUUCUCUGAGUUCUCCUUGGAGAGGGGAAAAUAAUUGGCUGCUUUAGUUUACGACUCCUCAGCUUACACAGGGCUCACAAAAGGCUGAGCGGAAGUGGGCACAUGCAGCUGAACUUUUGCUGCCAGUCGAGCAGGAACACGCCGAACUUGCUAGUCUGGAAAUUGUGAACAAAACAAAACGGAAAAGACAAAAACAAGCGAUAGGAGCUGAUAAAGAACUACACUGAAAAUUUGCCUUGUAUACAAAAAAAGCUCACAAUGUCGAAAUGAGUGCAAGGAAAAAAGACAAGGAUCAUUUUGAAGAAUUUGUUUAAAUAAAAAAUUGCCCAAUAACUGUACUGGAUGCUUAAAGACAUUUUGAUAAAAUAUCUUUUGGUUUUUAAUGUAGAGAAACAACAAAAAAGAUAUUAAAGGGAGAAAAGCAGAAAAAAAAUCUUUCAUUGUACUGAAAUAAACCAUUUUUGAGCCUGUAGAUUUUGCAGUAGGGAGAGAUUUGUUUUAACUACAGUCAAUAGUUAUUCAGACGAUAUGAAAGUAGAAUCUUUAAUUAAUAAGGAAGAUUAAAAAAAUUUACCUAACAGCAGGGUCCUUUUCAAACACAAGUACAUAAACUAUUUUUGUACUUUUUAGUUUUUCUGCACCACCUUUUAAGGAGAAACUUGUCUGCAGGUACCUGCUGUGUAUUUGACAAAAGACGACUUAGGUUUUGUCAUAUUCAGAGAUUUAGAAUGUUAGAUAUCUAUUGAUUGUUUGCUUCAAGACAGUU